AUGUGGUUAAUUCGAAGCAACGCGAAGAACCUUACCAGGUCUUGACAUCCCCUGACAACCCGAGAGAUCGGGCGUCCCCUUCGGGGGACAGGGUGACAGGUGGUGCAUGGUUGCGUCAGCUCGUGUCGUGAGAUGUUGGGUUAAGUCCCGCAACGAGCGCAACCCCUAUUGUUAGUUGCCAUCAUUCAGUUGGGCACUCUAGCGAGACUGCCGGUAAUAAACCGGAGGAAGUGGGGAUGACGUCAAAUCAUCAUGCCCCUUAUGACCUGGGCUACACACGUGCUACAAUGGUUGGUACAACGAGUUGCGAGCCGGUGACGGCGAGCUAAUCUCUUAAAGCCAAUCUCAGUUCGGAUUGUAGGCUGCAACUCGCCUACAUGAAGUCGGAAUCGCUAGUAAUCGCGGAUCAGCACGCCGCGGUGAAUACGUUCCCGGGCCUU
rnacentral:rRNA from 1 species